UACGAAGGGGGCUAGCGUUGCUCGGAAUCACUGGGCGUAAAGCGCACGUAGGCGGCUUUUUACGUCAGGGGUGAAAUCCUGGAGCUCAACUCCAGAACUGCCUUUGAUACUGAGGAUCUUGAGUUCGGGAGAGGUGAGUGGAACUGCGAGUGUAGAGGUGAAAUUCGUAGAUAUUCGCAAGAACACCAGUGGCGAAGGCGGCUCACUGGCCCGAUACUGACGCUGAGGCACGAAAGCGUGGGGAGCAAACAGG
rnacentral:rRNA from 1 species